ACGGGUGAGUAACGCGUGGGAAUCUACCCAUCUCUACGGAAUAACGCAUGGAAACGUGUGCUAAUACCGUAUACGUCCUUCGGGAGAAAGAUUUAUCGGAGAUGGAUGAGCCCGCGUUGGAUUAGCUAGUUGGUGGGGUAAAGGCCUACCAAGGCGACGAUCCAUAGCUGGUCUGAGAGGAUGAUCAGCCACACUGGGACUGAGACACGGCCCAGACUCCUACGGGAGGCAGCAGUGGGGAAUAUUGGACAAUGGGCGCAAGCCUGAUCCAGCCAUGCCGCGUGAGUGAUGAAGGCCCUAGGGUUGUAAAGCUCUUUCACCGGUGAAGAUAAUGACGGUAACCGGAGAAGAAGCCCCGGCUAACUUCGUGCCAGCAGCCGCGGUAAUACGAAGGGGGCUAGCGUUGUUCGGAUUUACUGGGCGUAAAGCGCACGUAGGCGGACUGUUAAGUCAGGGGUGAAAUCCCGGGGCUCAACCCCGGAACUGCCUUUGAUACUGGUAGUCUUGAGUUCGAGAGAGGUGAGUGGAAUUCCGAGUGUAGAGGUGAAAUUCGUAGA
rnacentral:rRNA from 1 species